AUACUUACCUGGCAGGGGAGACACCAUGAUCAAGAAGGCGGUUCACCCAGGGCGAGGCUUGUCCAUUGCACUCCGGCCAUGCUGACCCCUGCGAAUUCCCCAAAUGCGGGAAUCUCGACUGCAUAAUUUAUGGUAGUGGUUUUGGUCCUACCAG
rnacentral:snRNA from 1 species